rnacentral:lncRNA from 1 species
GAACGUCUUACCUAAAGAGAUCAUCAGCAAGCGAUUCUUCUCUUGCACGUCGAUUCUGCUCCUCCAAUUCUUCUCUUAACCAUUCUUCUAGUUCUGAAUUCUUUCUAGCUUGGUGAGCAACCAAAUCUGAUCCUCCAAUUAUGUAUGGAAGUUGUCCUGCCCUUGGGUAAGGGACCUUUCUGAACGUUUUGAAAUUGUUCUGUCCCCUGCAUUUGGUAUUUCUCAUAGUUGGGCUGUUUGAUCUUGGACAGCUGACAACCAGUGAUCGAAACUCAGUCAACAGAAGUUUGCUAGGAAGACGGCUGGAGUCAUCUUCAAGUUUGUUGUGGUUCUUAUAUGGGAAGAAAAAGAAUGGAGCACUUUUAGCAUAUAAAAUGACAUAAGAUGUAUCUCUCAUAGCCUUCUCAUAUACUAGCAUCAGAGACUGAUGCUAUGUGAAUUUAUU